rnacentral:rRNA from 1 species
AUGUAUAACCUUCCUCCUUGGAUGUGCAUGAAGCGGAAGUUCAUUAUGAUGCCAGUUCUCAUCCAAGGCCCUAAGCAACCCGGCAACGACAUUGAUGUGUACCUAAGGCCAUUAGUUGAAGAACUUUUACAGCUGUGGAAUGGAAACGGUGUACGUACGUGGGAUGAGCACAAACAGGAGGAAUUUAACCUGCACGCGUUGCUGUUUGUAACCAUCAACAAUUGGCCCGCUCUCAGUAACCUUUCAGGACAGACAAACAAGGGAUACCACACAUGCACGCACUGUUUAGAUGACACUGAAAGUAUAUACCUGGACAAAAGCAGGAAGAAUGUGUACCUGGGCCAUCGUCGAUUUCUUCCGACCAACCAUCAAUGUCGAAAGAAAGGCAAGCAUUUCAAAGGUGAGGCAGAUCACCGGAAGAAGCCCGCCAUGCGUACCGGUGAUCAUGUACUUGCUAUGGUCAAUGAUUUACACGUAAUCUUUGGAAAGGGUCCCGGCGGACUAGCUGUUCCGAAUGACGCUGAGGGACAUGCACCCAUGUGGAAGAAGAAAUCUUUAUUUUGGGACCUACCCUACUGGAAAGAGCUAGAGGUCCGCUCUUCAAUCGACGUGAUGCACGUGACGAAGAACCUUUGCGUGAACCUGCUAGGCUUCUUGGGCGCGUAUGGGAAGACAAAAGAUACACCUGAGGCACGGGAGGACCUGCAACGUUUGCACGAAAAAGACGGCAUGCCACCGAAGCAGUAUGAAGGUCCUGCCAGCUACGCUCUUACGAAGAGAAAGAAAUCUUCUUUGAAUGCCUGCUCAGUAUGA